UCCUAAGAGCUGAGUGCCAAAGGUACAGGG
rnacentral:piRNA from 1 species